GACCCCUCCCGGGUGGUGAUGUGGGUGAGGAGCCACAACAAGGGGGUUAGGGAAGAGGGGGCGUGUAGAGCGAGCCGGCAGCACCCAACGUAGCGGCGGCGUCUUUAACCUCGCGGGCGGCCGACGGCGUGUCCAGCGCCCACCACCAACUCGCGCGCGCGCCCCGCCUCCGCGCUCUCCGACACCACCACGCGCGCCCCCGACGUCUUCUCUCCGCCUCGCCCACUUCCAGCGUCGCCACGAGACAGAGGUCAGGCGGUUCCCCACGCCCCACUUCCAGCAGCCGCUGCGACGCAAAGGCCGCUCCCCUGAACGGUGCCUCAAAGACUCGUAGUUGUUACAGACUCUGUUCGUUUUUUUCACUGCUAGUCCAGCGUGUUCGUUGGGUUGUCCCACAUCUACUUUAUCUCGCGUCCAUGCGGGUGGUGUCGUUGUUUUGUGCGGCCAUUAACAGAUGUUCACAUACGCGUGAUUUCUCUAGUAGAUUGCACCCUUCGUGGGUAGUCUGUAUCUAUCAUUAUGGUCACGUGGUCUACGACUAAAUCUUCCGUUCCUAUAGUACGUUCUCCUCCUUAGCUUCAGUUUUGCCGCCUCCUGUCCGCUUUUGCUCAUCCUUGAUUACCUACCUAGUUCGUUUUUCCUGUAAGUUCUUCUAGUAGUACGUCAAUUAGCACUACGACUAGGGAGCGUACGAUAACUUAUAGUAGUUCUCCCGAUCUCUUCGUGUGGGAAAUAACCCAUGGUCGUAGCCCCUUCUUUCCUCUAACGACGGGCACCGUUUGCAGGCGAUCUGUAGUUGUUGUUAGACUCACAAAAGUGUCUACCACUACUUUUACAACUCUUUCUGUGACGACACCUUGUUGGUGGUUUUAAUUUUGCAGUUUUCUGGCCUAGAUUGCUCCUAUUCUCUUUGUCCCGUAGCGGACGUUCCGAAAAGUUCGACUUAUUUGAAGAACAUGGACAAGUUGUUCCGGUUCGAGUUCAGUGAAAGUCAGUUAAAGACUGUGGUCGGAAUAUGUCUAGUACCCCUUUCUCUUUCCCUCCGCACACAAGAAGCCAUUGAGUCCCCUAUCCCUACUUUCUUCGUGUGUUGGUACCCCUUUUCACUUUCGAUUUAGACUGGAAAAAGACACGAAGAAGAUGGGAAUCAGUUAUACUUAACGGACCUCUUGUUUAGGAUUUGGUUGGUGGUAACCUCCUAACACCUCUCAAAAGACCUAGACCCUCAACAGGGAAACACCGAACCCUCUCUCUUCUUCUACCCCGACCCGCUAAACCACCCCUCUUUUCCUCUGCGGGUCCCCCCACCUCCUCCCUUUGUGCACCCCCUCCCUCCUAGUCCACUCAAGGCGCCGAGCUACCAACCCACGUUCCUUAGCCCUCGCCCCGGUCCAUGAAAGGAUAAGACCUAUCCUCCCUGUCUUUUAAUGAUAAAACCCUCCCGACGGUCCCUUGCGAUCCCUCGUCGGCCGACGAGGGAUCUGUGCAGGUAUGAAUUUUGGGUAUAGAUACUUAAACCUAAGUGUGACGUCAAGGUAAUUGUAGUUUACGUGAGGGGGCGUUUUUUUUUUUGUAGUUUACGUGACUUUUUAUAAAGUCUGGACCGCAUACACCUUCCUGUCUUCCGACGUGCUCAAGUCGAGGUUACAGCUGAUCUCAAGCUUAGUAAGAUCUGGGCCUCCAAACUAUAUUACCUCUUAUAAGUCAUCACCGUAUAUAUGUUAUUUUUACAUUCGUUCCUAAUACCCGAAAAAUGCCGAGUCCACCACAUAUAUAAGCUCUAUAAUUCUCGUCAAAACAUAUCACUUUUAUUUGUACAAAGACAUCAUGGUUGAUGGUCUAACUAAAAGGUAGUCAAUGUAACAUUAAGUUUGUACGUUACAAAGUACAAAACGACAAGGACAAAAGAUGCCGUAGGUCCCUAUCCCCGGAACCUUAGAAACGUUCGAACUAGAAGUCCAAAGACUCUAGUAUGUACCGUUUAGCUUUGACUGUGAAUCAACGGUACAAGUUAAAAGUCUUAUUUGUCUGUAGGAGUUGAACUGUUCGUCGUUGAUGUCUCGAGUCUCAAUUCUAGACAUCGACGUGUGUGAUGUUUGUGUAGUCCUAGAGGUUUAUUUGCGACAAGACCUAACUUUUUUCUGGAACUACUUGGACUUCUAGGUACGAGUCGAACGAUCCGAAGGCGUAUGGUUACAUUAUUCCAAUGACCCCACCACGUAUGUACCUCUUCUUUCCUAAGAUUAGAUGUUCAAGUACGUGUUACCACGGAACCUGGUAGUGUAUAAACUACACACCAACCGUCGUCCUCUGCUUCGUCACCCUCGUACCUCUGCGGACACCCUCGUGACCCGAAAUAGAAAAGUUGACGUCUACGGUGUUGUACCCCUCCACCCUACGACAUGGUGACCUCUAUGGUUCUCUCCUCGUGUCGCAGGGAGACUCGUAGGCCGGUAAACGGACACGGGUUCAUUGCCUGUUUCAACCGGAACU
rnacentral:rRNA from 1 species